CCUGAGUAGUUGGGAUUUCAGGCACGUGCCACCACACCCAGAUCUCAAGACCUUCUGACUGCGAUGUGGAGAAUGGACUGCAGGGGGCGAUGGUGGAAGCCAGGAGCCCAAUGAGGACACCACCGCCCUGGUUCAGGCCCCAGCUCCUGGAGGACAUUUCGAACACACCGUGAGGGGGAAGGGAAGCUGCUGUGUUGAAGGUGCUUCUGGAAUAGUAUUUUCAUCUCGUCCACUUUUUUUUUUUUUUUUUUGAGACGGAGUCUCGCUCUGUCGCCCAGGCUAGAGUGCAGUUGCGCGAU
rnacentral:lncRNA from 1 species